GCGAGAGUGGCGGAAUUGGCAGACNNCGCUGGACUUAGGAUCCAGUGGGGUAACCCGUGCAGGUUCGACUCCUGUCUCUCGCA
rnacentral:tRNA from 1 species